GCNNNGCAUUACGGGUACGGGGAUUAGGGUUCGAUUCCGGAGAGGGAGCCUGAGAAACGGCUACCACAUCCAAGGAAGGCAGCAGGCGCGCAAAUUACCCAAUCCCGAUACGGGGAGGUAGUGACAAUAAAUAACAAUACAGGGCUCUUAUGGGUCUUGUAAUUGGAAUGAGUUUAUUUAAAUCCCUUAACGAGGAACAAUUGGAGGGCAAGUCUGGUGCCAGCAGCCGCGGUAAUUCCAGCUCCAAUAGCGUAUAUUAAAGUUGUUGCAGUUAAAAAGCUCGUAGUUGAAUUUCGGGGUUCUACCGUUGGUCGGGCAAUAGUCUGUACUGGYGUGUAGAAUUUCUACCUUCUGGGGAACCAUCAUGUUAUUUAUUUAGCGUGGUGGGAAACCAGGACCUUUACCUUGAAAAAAUUAGAGUGUUCAAAGCAGGCUUACGUCUGAAUACAUUAGCAUGGAAUAAUAAAAUAGGACGGUGGUCCUGUUUUGUUGGUUUCUGAAUCACCGUAAUGAUUAAUAGGGAUAGUUGGGGGCAUUAGUAUUCAAUUGUCAGAGGUGAAAUUCUUGGAUUUAUUGAAGACUAACUUCUGCGAAAGCAUUUGCCAAGGAUGUUUUCAUUAAUCAAGAACGAAAGUUAGGGGAUCGAAGACGAUCAGAUACCGUCGUAGUCUUAACCAUAAACUAUGCCGACUAGGGAUCGGACGAUGUUAAUUUUUCUUGACUCGUUCGGCGCCUUACGGGAAACCAAANGUUUUNGGUUUC
rnacentral:rRNA from 1 species